AGUGAACGCUGGCGGUAGGCCUAACACAUGCAAGUCGAACGGCAGCACAGUAAGAGCUUGCUCUUACGGGUGGCGAGUGGCGGACGGGUGAGGAAUACAUCGGAAUCUACUUUUUCGUGGGGGAUAACGUAGGGAAACUUACGCUAAUACCGCAUACGACCUACGGGUGAAAGCAGGGGAUCUUCGGACCUUGCGCGAUUGAAUGAGCCGAUGUCGGAUUAGCUAGUUGGCGGGGUAAAGGCCCACCAAGGCGACGAUCCGUAGCCGGUCUGAGAGGAUGAUCAGCCACACUGGAACUGAGACACGGUCCAGACUCCUACGGGAGGCAGCAGUGGGGAAUAUUGGACAAUGGGCGCAAGCCUGUUCCAGCCAUACCGCGUGGGUGAAGAAGGCCUUCGGGUUGUAAAGCCCUUUUGUUGGGAAAGAAAAGCAGCAGGUUAAUACCCCGCUGUUCUGACGGUACCCAAAGAAUAAGCACCGGCUAACUUCGUG
rnacentral:rRNA from 1 species